GUGUCAGCCGCCGCGGUAAUACCGGCAGCCCGAGUGAUGGCCGAUCUUAUUGGGCCUAAAGCGUCCGUAGCUGGCCGCACAAGUCCAUCGGAAAAUCCACCCGCCCAACGGGUGGGCGUCCGGUGGAAACUGUGUGGCUUGGGACCGGAAGGCGCGACGGGUACGUCCGGGGUAGGAGUGAAAUCCUGUAAUCCUGGACGGACCGCCGAUGGCGAAAGCACGUCGCGAGGACGGAUCCGACAGUGAGGGACGAAAGCUAGGGUCUCGAACCGGAUUAGAAACCCUUGUAGUCC
rnacentral:rRNA from 1 species